rnacentral:lncRNA from 1 species
AACCAAUUCUUGUUAGUGCCUGGCCCACAUUCAUAAAUAUGGAGGUAGAAUGGGAGGCAAUAUGGGUGGAGCACUUGUUUUCACAUGCCGAGGGCUGGAAUGCUAACCUAUUGUCCUCUCUCGUAUCCUCUGAGAUGAUGACCAUGAUCAUGAAAAUUCCUAUUUCCUAUACUUCUUGGUCUGAUCACAUAGGGUGGUUUGCAUCCAGAUCUUCUAUAAUAUCUUUGAAAGAGGUGAUGACAUCUAUAAAUUCUGAAGUUCCAUGUUCUCCUACAGCAAGCUGUAGUUGGAUUUGAAAACUUCAGGUUCCUCAAAGAGUUCAAAUAUUUUGUUGGCAACUUUAUUUCCAAAAGAUUCUGUGCAAAGAUUUCUUGGUUAGAAAAGGAAUUUUAUCUGCUGAGCAGCAAUCAUGUGAUCUGUGUGGGCAGUCGGUAGAGGAUUGCGAGCAUGUCAUUAUUUUGUGUCCAUUUGUGGUAACUUGCUGGAGGAGGUUGGUUCAUAUAUUUACUAUGAAUGAUGUUCCUCAUACUUUAGCUGACUUGUUUGAUUUGCUUUCGAAUACUAUGGGGGAAAAAAGGGUUCAGGCAUCAUGUGUUUACCGAGCCUGGCUACUAUGAAGAGCACGCAAUGCUAGAAUAUUCGAAAAUAUAUCAGUUGACCCCGAUCACCUAUUACACCAGAUUGAGGUGCUGAUUGAUGAUUACAUGUGUCACGUCCCCGAUCCGAGAUUGUGAAUCG